rnacentral:lncRNA from 10 species
CGCUCAGAGCCCAUCAAAGUGCAGCGCUCCCGCUGGCUCCCUCCACCACGCUGGCCUCAGCCCCCCCGCAGGCUUCGUCAGCUCCCACCUGGCGCCGCCUCCAGGCUACUCUGUACCCCUCUGUCCCCUGAGCUGACACAAGUCAGCUUUCUCCAGCCGGCUCUCAUCCGGGCUGCACUCCACUUACCAGAGCCUUCCUGAAAUGACCACGACAAACGCUUGUGUUACCAAAUCAUGGAGGCGGCACUCACUGUGUUCUGGACACAGUGCUAAACACGCUCUACAGAGACUAACUCAAUUCACCGUUGUUGUGUAAGCGGGUGUGGGCAGGAUGGUGGCCUCACCUGAUGCAGUGCACACCUCCAACAGGCAUCAGAUGGAAUGCACUGGGAGCAAGAUUCUCAUAGCAAUGACAAAGAUCCCCAACACCGUCCACCACGCAGCCCAUUUGCCUCUGGACGCGUGGCCUUGAGCCUGGCCCCUCGAGUUUAUCCCAGCGCUUGGUGACGAGACCCCACAUACUGCACAGGAGGACAGGCAGAGGGUCAGCCAGAGCGUGGGAUGUGGAAGUGCCACCUCCCUUUGCAGGCUGUGUGUCUUCGGGUAAGUAAUCAGCUUCUCUGAGCCCCCCUUCCAUCUCUGUCAAAUGUGGACGAAUGAUGCCUGCACUUUGUCCCCGUG